UUUUCACACAGCUGAAUAAACGGCAAACAGAAAACUGAUUAAACAGAAGUAUGAGAUUGUCGAGAAUUUACACCAGUGUCCUGUUAUAGUUUAGAUAGCAAGGAGCAAACGGCCGAGUUUAUUAAACUCCAUCGAGACAGCGGUGACGCUAAUCUGAAGACUACACCGUCCAAUUUCACAGCCGUUUACUUCCGGCCUUCCCGACCUUCUGAGGACCCGGCCCACGACUAUACACACAGACAAGCUCACGCAUGCACGCUUAAGACUGCCACGUAAUUUAUUGAACUGUGUAUUGCUGCUGUGGCACUUUUACCACCAGAAGAUGCUGUUAGUGAACUCUAAUUUCUUUUUCUGUCAGCUUGUUGUUGUUUGUGGCAUUACAAACAUGCAAUGCCAACAGGAAGUUGCAGAGUGCCCUCUGGUAAAUGGUAAAUGGUAAAUGGCCUGCAUUUGUAUAGUGCUUUACUCAGUCCCUAAGGACCCCAAAGCGCUUUACACUACAUUCAGUCAUUCACCCAUUCACACACACAUUCACACACUGGCAAUGGCAAGCUACAUUGUUUCUUGCUGAUGUAACAUCAGCAGUCAUAACAUGGUCCAAGGGUGUUUGUCCUAUCAGUACUUUUUAUCGGAUUUUCAUAUCUUGUCAGUUAUAAAUUCCAAUACCAGUAGCUUUUCAAAUAGCUACUAGAAGUCAGUAAUUUAAGCCCAUUGGUUUGCCUUUACAACACAUCAUGUUGGACAUUAACAAGCAUGAGAAUUUAUUUGGUUCAUAAAUGUGAUAGAGGUGUGGUGUUUUGAGGAUGACAAAAAAUGAAAACUAUCAGUCUGCAUUGACCAAUCAGCUAUUCAGUUAAUUAUUUCAGCUAUACUGCACAGUAUCUGUGCUUCCUAUUUCCACCUAAAUGUAAAAACAGGUAACGAGCUGAAAAUUUUGAAAAAAUUGGGCUAUCUAACUUUUGGUGUUUAACAACUAAAAUGGUGGCCUUGUUAAACAGUGGAUGACUCUAUCCACCUGUGUGUGUAUGUGUGUGUGUGUUAUAUACAUAUUUUUUAAUGUAAUCAGAUUUAACAAGUAGCUAGGCCUGUGAAUGACAUAUAGCAAAAAGUGCUAUGUUGAUACAGUUCUCUAAACAAGUCUUGAGUCAUGCCUCAUUGCUUUAUGUUUUGCUUGUUUUGUUACACUUUCUUACAUUUCUUUUUCUUUUUUUUCUUUCUUUUUUUACAAGUGGCCUUGAGCAGUAGCGCUCCUGGCUUUGUGAAGCCCUUUCAAAGUUUUUCUUUGUCGGUUUUCCUUUUUUAAGCCACUUAACACUGACCUAUGAAUCAUUCAUGCAUAAAAAGGCACCUAACUCAAGGGAUGAGGCAUCGUUGUCUGCAUGUAAUACACAACAGAGAACCAAUUUUAAAGUGUAUCUUUAGGCAUUUUGUUACUAGCAGCCAGUUGCAGAACACAUUUGUUCCAAUUUCUUCAGCAGAAUCUACUAAAAAAUGGAGAAGAAAAGUUUGACAGGCAUAAAAUUGUAUUUUUGCUCCAACGAGGUGAUUAUCAAAGCGGCAUUAACCAGCAGCUUGGUAUAUCUCAGCAUGGUGCACUGUGUAUCUUUAAAAUAUUUAUUGAAAUUGGACAGGUGGAAGACAAAAGAAGAAGAGGCAGGCAGAAAAAGCUGCAGCAAAUGAACUGUAUCUGAAAAUCAUAUCUUUAAGAAAUAGGAAAAACUUUAGGAAAGACCUGAAAUAGGAUAUGAGAGAUGUCUCUUUAGGAAAUUUACAGAUUACUGAAGCCUCAUCACAAAUGCUCUAAAGGGAAAGGCUGAGGUGUACCAAUUAUACAAGAACUGGGCUGUAAACAGGUCCUGUGGUCAGUAUGUAUGUAUGGGAGUGUCUACAGCCAUCUGUAAAACACAAUGGAGGCUAUGCCAUGGUUUGAUGGCGGAAUUCCAGCCAGUGGUGUUGGGGAUCUUGUCAGAUUUGACGGUAUUGUGAGUGCUGAAAAGUACCAUUAGAUUUUGAUUCACCAUCUGUAAUACCAUCUGACCUAAAUGUUAUUGAAGCGGUGUCAGAGCAUUUUGACAGACAACAGAACAAAAGGCAGUCAACAUCCAAAGAAAAGCUUUGAAUGGCCUUGAAGAAGCCCAGAGAACUGCUAGAUGAAAGCUUGCCCGAAAGAGUUCAGGCUGUGUUGCAGAAUAAAGGUGGUCAUACUAAAUAUUGACUUUGAAGUUUGGUAGGAUUAUACAAGGCCCUUAUUUGCAUCAUAUGCAGUAUUUCUGUAUGUAUCCUAUUUCUCAUUUUCCUGGCAAAAUAUAAAGAAAGUAGUGGUGAUGCCACACUUUUGCACAGCACUAUAUUUCUGUGCAUCCCCCCCAACUUCUGCAGCUUCUUAUACGCAGUAGGAUUGUUCAAAUCUGGCUUUUCAAAUGACCAUUUAGUGCUGGUUAUUGCAAAGAGAAAUCCUUUCUUCUUUUCAAGGGUAGCAGGGAAGAAAACUGUAACAUCCAAAUGGUUGUGGCAAAGGACUCCAGGCUCAGUGGUGGAACAUACAUCUUUAGAAAUUGUGCAUUUCCAUUUUAUGCCACAGUCCAAAAUGUCUCCCCCCCCCCCUUUUAAUGCAUUUUUACUGCAGAAUUUAGGGUUGUGAGAAUAAUUGCACAGAUCCACAUCCAAAGUCAUAUUUAAUCACUCUAAUUGAAAACCAUGUGGUGAAUGACUGCUUUAAGUCUUAGACAUCAGCAGACACUUUGUGUUUUCCCUGUAGAUGCUCCCACAGACUUUUACUGCAGACACCUGGAGUUCUCUCUACCUUUUCUCUGCCUUCACUUUUCAAGGUACAGUGCAUCCAAGUGUCCAAUUACCUUUAAACAGCGACACUAGAAGGACCAUAACUGUUAAACUCUGGAAUGUAUUUUACUCCACUGUAUUUUUAUUACAGUAUUUCUUAGACUACAUUUAAUUCUAAGUGUCACAACCUGGGCUCUGUAGGCUCAGUGUCAAAGUAGGCCUUACACAAGUGCAAGGAGCAAGGUUUUCCAGCAGAAGAUUGCACUGAAACAAGAUAAGCAGUUAAUCGUCUUGUUGUCAUUGUGGCUUACAUGAUAUUUAUUUAUACAUGUAAGACGCAUAGCCCUAUGAUAUUUAUAUAUAGGACUAUGUAUUUCACUCAGAAUACUUAAGAUACUUUUUCUUAUGUCCAUUUGUAAUGUAGGUCCUGGUAAAAUAUGUUUUCACUUGGAAGUGAAUAUUCCCCACCGCUCUGCACUUUGCAGAUAUUAUUCUGUUAUUCCCACAGACUGCAUAAUUUUUUUCUUCCAAGUUGAAGGCAAAGGAACUUGCAUUUUCCUGCUGCCCUAUUUCUGCUAAGAGAGGGCAAAGCGAGAACAUUACCCCCACAGCAAAGAGAGGAUUUGUUUCUAUUGCUUGUUCUGGAAGAAGUGAUUGAGUCAAACACAUUCCUACCAAAACUGCUUUAAACUGUGCAGAGCCAAUACAGGCUUAUAUUUGUCACAGAAAACACUGACCCGAGGGUACAUUUCAGCUAGUUUGGUUUUGGCCUGUGAGUUUGUGGGGGUGUUUGAACUGGAAAUGAAACCCCCUCCCCGUGCAUGAAGAGAUGAAAAACAGAAUUGCGUACAUCCGGCCAGGUUUCAGAAACCUGAAAGGUCAGAUCUGAGUUUCUUCCUGUGCUGAUUUUAUGCCAAGAAGUUAGGCAGUCCAUUUACCUGUCUCUACAUAUUAAAUAUAAAUGUGUCUUUUGGAAGACUUUUUAUAAUGAAAGCUUUGCAAUUCAGCAUUAUAAAGGUCUUUAGACUAAGUGAACAUGAUAAGUGUCACGACUGGGGCAGCAGUCAUGUGGUGGAGGACCCAAGAUGCAAGAAACGGCUAGAUGCAGGUGAGCGUUUUAUUUACAAAUGGUGAAAUAUACACAGAAACGAGGGUGGCGAGGACUGCCGGAACAGAACAAAACAAGAGCCCCCCCAGGAAUCCAAACAAAAUGUCCAAAAUGCACACAGGGGAGCAGAGUCCGAAUUAUAGUUCAGGUGGCCGGCCCGGGGGCUGAUAGUGUGAAAGCUCACACAGCUCUGGUGGCCGGCCCAGAGGUUGCCAGCCCAAGAGCCCAGAGUGAAACAGUUCAGGGGGUCAGCCAAGCAGAAGGCAGUGGCGGCGAGAGAGCAGAUCCAGGGCCGGCCACACGGAAGGCAGCGGCGGCGACAGAGCAGGUCCGGAGGCCGGCCGUGCGUAGGGCAACGGAGGCGAAACAGCGGUGGCGGCAACACCGUUCAAGAGGGCGUCCACGAUGGCGAUGAUGACCAGCCAGCGGCCUAGAAGAUGGCCGGCGAUGUUGAGGCGCCAGACGCGGACCGGAUGGCGGCGUGGCAGCAGCAGUACCAGGCGAGGAUGAGGCUGAAGCUGCAUCCGAGGCUGAAGCUGAUGCUGAAGCUGGACCCGACGAGGCAGAAGCUGAGGCAGAGGCUGGACCAAGCGAAGCUGAAGCUGAUGCAGAGGCGGGACCGGGCGAAGCUAAAACUGCUGCAGGCGUGGAUGACGAGGCUGCUGCAGGCGAGGGUGAUGCUGCAGACGAUGGCGUGGGAGCUGCAGGUGGUGGCACUGCAGGCGACGGUGAUGGAUCGGACCCUCCAGCGAAAACAGUCACAGAACCACGGAGGCCUCUGGCAAACACUGUCAUGGUCUGGGUGUGUGGCUGUAAAAUUCCAUCGAAGGUCUGGACCUCCCUGGUAUCCACCCAUGGGCAGGGCCUACAGCCUCCCUCACCUGAAGCUGAUUGAGGCAAUCAGGACGGAGAUUUAAGCUGCUGGCUGACACUGCUUCCUCGCCAGUUCGUCAACUACCCUAUUUACUCCAGGAAAACUCCAUCACACCGGACCACUCAUCUUGGAAAUCUGGUUGAACCGCCAGCCCACGGAAUCAUCUCCUUGCCUCACCUGCCUGUCCUCCUGCCCUUACACCACCUCGGGACCUUCACCACUCAGGACAGCUGCCACAUACCACCUAACUCACCUGGACCACACCACCUCUCCCUCAACGCUUCCAUCUCCCACCUGCACAUACGUACCUAAUCACCAGCAGCUGCUGUUGCUCUCUCGGACCUGUCCCCGUGCUUAUCCCUCUCCCCUGGCCAAGACCCUUACGCCUCACAUAUCAAGCUGUAAAUCUAGUACUAACGUGAACGUCAUUUUGGCGUUAGUCAAUAAACCUUUGUUAAACCCUUUACUCUGCCUCCGCCUUGGGUUUCCUGCACGUGGGUUUGAUUUUGGUGCUCGGCCUUCGGCCGUUCUGUGACAAACACAAAGCCGAACCAGCAGGCACAUGGGCCUCUGGAAAACACAGAGCAGAACCAGUAGGCGCGCAGGCCUCUGGCAGGGACAAAACAGAACCAGCAGGCACAUGGGCCUCUGGCAAACACAGAGCAGAAUGCAGCUGCGUGGAGCACUGACCCUGCUCAGGCAGCGACAGCCAGGUGCAGUCCUCAGCUGGGUUCUUAGCCUGCAGGGGUCCAGAGUGGGCUGAGGGCUGAAACUCAGCCUCUGGGGAGGCCCUGGAGUGAGUCACAGCCAGCUUUUGAGGAACCUUUCCAUUGUUAACAGGUUUGUCUCUCUGCUCAGAAACAGUGGUUGAAAAACAGUCCUUUGAGGGUUGUGCUGACCUAGCCCUAAUAACAGGAGAAGGUAAAGGCAGGAUAGGUGGUGCAGCUAAUGACUGAACUGAGGAGUGAACUAAUGGGUGGACAGUAGACUGUGCAGGAGAGAGAACUACAGGCUGGGAAGUAAGUGACACAAAGUUACCAGGGUCACGAUAAACAGAGUCACUAGAAAUUAAUUUGGGCUUAGAAGAGGCAAAACAAAUAGAGUCCUUAAUAGAGCGUGCAUUAGAAUGCAAAGCAGUCUCAGAAGAAAGAGUCUUUACACCACUUGGCUCCGGAGGGACAAAAGUUGCACAGUCUUUAGAGCCCAGAGAGGUGUAAUUAUUCUCAAAAUGAACACUCCUUUUAUUAUCACGAACCGGGGAAACACAAGCUCUGGGGUUCAUAAAGCUGGCGUUAGCAGCCUUGGGGAAAACAGUCUGUUUAUCCCUUGACACAAAAGAAUGGAGUCUUUGUCACUCACCCCCGCUGGACGUUCCUCAGGGAAGUUAGACAAACCAGUUAUCACAAAAAUUGCAUUGCAGGAGUAGAUGCACAGUAGCAUUAUCUUAGAGGGUGCAGAGGGCAACAUUUAACAACUGUCUGACAUUGUCAUAAAUAUAGACAGAGAAGCAGAACUAGGUAGAAAGCUUGCUGUGUUUUAAAAUAGUUAAUUUGUAGAUUGCCCACACACAUAGGAAAUGAAAGCUUAAAUUAAGAAAGAGACAGAGUUAGGGUGCAUGAUCAUUAAAGGAACUGUUUUGAUCAAAACUGUGCAUGAGGGGUGCAGGGGACACAGAGGGCUGAAGAACAGGAAAGUCAGAUGCUGAAUACAAAAGUUAUAAAUGUAACAGACUGAGGGAGCGCCCCUCAGAUCUGCAGGAGGCUGUGCAUAGCUCCCUUCUGGAAGGGUUUGUUGAAUAAAGCAUACAUUUUGAAUACACUGAGUUUGUGUCUUCUUUAUCCAGCCUGAGGGCAAAAGAAUUGGGUCUCAGCAUCUGCUGACCCUGUAACA